GCGUGAGUGAUGAAGGUUUUAGGAUCGUAAAGCUCUGUCAGUGGGGAAGAAACUAUUGUCGGAUAAUACCCGGCAGUACUGACGGUACCCACAAAGGAAGCACCGGCUAACUCCGUGCCAGCAGCCGCGGUAAUACGGAGGGUGCAAGCGUUGUUCGGAAUUAUUGGGCGUAAAGCGCGUGUAGGCGGUUGUUUAAGUCUGGUGUGAAAGCCCGGGGCUCAACCCCGGAAGUGCAUUGGAUACUGGGCAACUUGAGUACGGGAGAGGAAAGUGGAAUUCCGAGUGUAGGGGUGAAAUCCGU
rnacentral:rRNA from 1 species